rnacentral:rRNA from 1 species
CGAACGCUGGCGGCAGGCCUAACACAUGCAAGUCGAACGCCCCGCAAGGGGAGUGGCAGACGGGUGAGUAACGCGUGGGAACGUACCCUUCGGUUCGGAAUAACCCGGGGAAACUCGGGCUAAUACCGGAUACGUCCGCAAGGAGAAAGAUUUAUCGCCGAAGGAUCGGCCCGCGUCGGAUUAGCUAGUUGGUGAGGUAACGGCCCACCAAGGCGACGAUCCGUAGCUGGUCUGAGAGGAUGAUCAGCCACACUGGGACUGAGACACGGCCCAGACUCCUACGGGAGGCAGCAGUGGGGAAUAUUGGACAAUGGGCGAAAGCCUGAUCCAGCCAUGCCGCGUGAGUGAAGAAGGCCUUAGGGUUGUAAAGCUCUUUCAGCGGGGAAGAUAAUGACGGUACCCGCAGAAGAAGUCCCGGCUAACCUCGUGCCAGCAGCCGCGGUAAUACGAAGGGGACUAGCGUUGUUCGGAUUUACUGGGCGUAAAGCGCGCGUAGGCGGAUCGCUAAGUCAGGGGUGAAAUCCCAGGGCUCAACCCUGGAACUGCCUUUGAUACUGACGAUCUGGAGAUCGGGAGAGGUUGGUGGAAUUCCGAGUGUAGAGGUGAAAUUCGUAGAUAUUCGGAGGAACACCAGAAGCGAAGGCGGCCAACUGGCCCGAUACUGACGCUGAGGCGCGAAAGCGUGGGGAGCAAA